rnacentral:rRNA from 1 species
AAAUAGAUACCCAGGUAGUCCACGCCGUAAACGAUGAGUGCUAAGUGUUAGGGGGGUUUCCGCCCCUUAGUGCUGCAGCUAACGCAUUAAGCACUCCGCCGUGGGGAGUACGGUCGCAAGACUGAAACUCAAAGGAAUUGACGGGGGCCCGCACAAGCGGUGGAGCAUGUGGUUUAAUUCGAAGCAACGCGAAGAACCUUACCAGGUCUUGACAUCCCGCUGACCGCUAUGGAGACAUAGCUUUCCCGUUCGGGGACAGCGGUGACAGGUGGUGCAUGGUUGUCGUCAGCUCGUGUCGUGAGAUGUUGGGUUAAGUCCCGCAACGAGCGCAACCCUUGUCCUUAGUUGCCAUCAUUCAGUUGGGCACUCUAAGGAGACUGCCGUACAAAUACGGAGGAAGGUGGGGAUGACGUCAAAUCGAUCAUGCCCCUUAUGACCUGGGCUACACACGUGCUACAAUGGACGGUACAAACGGUUGCGAAGUCGCGAGACGGAGCCAAUCCGAGAAACGCCGUUCUCAGGUUCGGAUUGCAGGCUGACC